rnacentral:rRNA from 1 species
GACGAACGCUGGCGGCGUGCCUAAUACAUGCAAGUCGAACGAAGUGGCGAACGGGUGAGUAAUACGUGGGUAACCUGCCCUCCUUUUUGGGAUAAGCCUUGGAAACGGGGUCUAAUACCGAAUAAAGGGGGAUGGGCUCGCGGCCUAUCAGCUUGUUGGGGGGGUGAUGGCAUACCAAGGCGGUGACGGGUAGCCGGCCUGAGAGGCUGACCGACCAAAUUGGGACUGAGAUACGGCUCAGAGUCCUACGGGAGGCACCAGUGGGGGAUAUUGCACAAUGGGAGAAAGCCUGAUGCAGCGAUGCGGCGUGGGGGAUGAAGUCUUUCGGGUUGUAAACCUCUUUCGCUUCGCACCGGGUAGGUGGAGAAGAAGCGCCGGCUAACUACGUGCCAGCCGCCGCGGUAAUUC